CGGAGGAAAAGAAACCAACAGGGAUUGCCCUAGUAACGGCGAGUGAAGCGGCAACAGCUCAAAUUUGAAAUCUGGCUCUCUUUGGGGGUCCGAGUUGUAAUUUGCAGAGGAUGCUUUGGCAUUGGCGGCGGUCUAAGUUCCUUGGAACAGGACAUCACAGAGGGUGAGAAUCCCGUACGUGGUCGCCUGCCUUUGCCGUGUAAAGCUCCUUCGACGAGUCGAGUUGUUUGGGAAUGCAGCUCUAAAUGGGAGGUAAAUUUCUUCUAAAGCUAAAUACUGGCCAGAGACCGAUAGCGCACAAGUAGAGUGAUCGAAAGAUGAAAAGUACUUUGGAAAGAGAGUCAAAAAGCACGUGAAAUUGUUGAAAGGGAAGCGCUUGCAGCCAGACUUCCCCGCAGUUGCUCACCUAGGCUUUCGCCUGGGGCACUCUUCUGCGGGCAGGCCAGCAUCAGUUUGGGCGGUUGGAUAAAGGCCUCUGUCACGUAUCUUCCUUCGGGAAGACCUUAUAGGGGAGGCGUAAUGCAACCAGCCCGGACUGAGGUCCGCGCAUCUGCUAGGAUGCUGGCGUAAUGGCUGUAAGCGGCCCGUCUUGAAACACGGACCAAGGAGUCUAACAUCUAUGCGAGUGUUUGGGUGUCAAGCCCGAGCGCGUAAUGAAAGUGAACGGAGGUGGGAACCUUUUAGGUGCACCAUCGACCGAUCCUGAUGUCUUCGGAUGGAUUUGAGUAAGAGCAUAGCUGUUGGGACCCGAAAGAUGGUGAACUAUGCUUGAAUAGGGUGAAGCCAGAGGAAACUCUGGUGGAGGCUCGCAGCGGUUCUGACGUGCAAAUCGAUCGUCAAAUUUGGGCAUAGGGGCGAAAGACUAAUCGAACCAUCUAGUAGCUGGUUCCUGCCGAAG
rnacentral:rRNA from 1 species